CCGGCGCACGGGUGAGUAACACGUAUCCAACCUGCCGUCUACUCUUGGACAGCCUUCUGAAAGGAAGAUUAAUACAAGAUGGCAUCAUGAGUCCGCAUGUUCACAUGAUUAAAGGUAUUCCGGUAGACGAUGGGGAUGCGUUCCAUUAGAUAGUAGGCGGGGUAACGGCCCACCUAGUCUUCGAUGGAUAGGGGUUCUGAGAGGAAGGUCCCCCACAUUGGAACUGAGACACGGUCCAAACUCCUACGGGAGGCAGCAGUGAGGAAUAUUGGUCAAUGGGCGAGAGCCUGAACCAGCCAAGUAGCGUGAGGGAUGACUGCCCUAUGGGUUGUAAACUUCUUUUAUAAAGGAAUAAAGUCGGGUAUGCAUACCCGUUUGCAUGUACUUUAUGAAUAAGGAUCGGCUAACUCCGUGCCAGCAGCCGCGGUAAUACGGAGGAUUCGAGCGUUAUCCGGAUUUAUUGGGUUUAAAGGGAGCGUAGAUGGAUGUUUAAGUCAGUUGUGAAAGUUUGCGGCUCAACCGUAAAAUUGCAGUUGAUACUGGAUAUCUUGAGUGCAGUUGAGGCAGGCGGAAUUCGUGGUGUAGCGGUGAAAUGCUUAGAUAUCACGAAGAACUCCGAUUGCGAAGGCAGCCUGCUAAGCUGCAACUGACAUU
rnacentral:rRNA from 1 species